rnacentral:rRNA from 1 species
CUGGCGGCACGCUUAACACAUGCAAGUCGAACGAGCGAAAGGUGCUUGCACCUCUAGCUAGUGGCGGACGGGUGAGUAACACGUGAGCAAUCUGCCUUUCGGUGGGGGAUACCAAUUGGAAACGAUUGUUAAUACCCCAUAACAUAACGAAGCCGCAUGACUUUGUUAUCAAAGAUUUAUUGCCGGAAGAUGAGCUCGCGUCUGAUUAGGUAGUUGGUGAGGUAACGGCUCACCAAGCCGACGAUCAGUAGCCGGACUGAGAGGUUGAACGGCCACAUUGGGACUGAGACACGGCCCAGACUCCUACGGGAGGCAGCAGUGGGGAAUAUUGCACAAUGGGCGAAAGCCUGAAUGCAGCGAUGCCGCGUGAGGGAAGAAGGUUUUAGGAUUGUAAACCUCUGUCUUUGGGGACGAUAAUGACGGUACCCAAGGAGGAAGCUCCGGCUAACUACGUGCCAGCAGCCGC